rnacentral:lncRNA from 1 species
CCCGUAUUCACAAUCCUGUCUACUAACAGGCCCCAAUGCGCAGCCUUUGCAGCAGCACCUAUUUGGAAGGAAUGAGGCGUGUUCAGCGGUAGGCAAGCCGCAGGCUGCAAUAACUGGCGCACGACGUGAGCAAUUAGAUGCCUGUCGAACCGGAACCCAUUUCUGUGCACUAGGAUUGAGCCAGCCCCCAGGGGAACGAAAAGCCAAAUAUUUCCGGUAUCCAAUAACAGGGCAAGGGCCCACCUCACCUGUGACUGGAAGCCUGAUGGUGGCAACCCUGCUCACUAGGUCUGACUUAGAGCUCCAGACACUUAUGACAAGCUCCAAAGCAGAUAAGGAAAAGUCCUGUGGCAAUAAGCCUCCAAACUCUCAGCCCCGUGCUGGCUCCAACACAAUUUCCCCAACCCUCAGUACACCAAAAUUACAAUGGAAUACUGAAAUAAGUCUCGUCUUGAUCUUGAACCAGCCAACAAGUCUCAACUUGUUGCAGAUACUGCAUAGGUCAAAGAUUGACCGGCUUCCUGCCUGCUGUCCUGUGAAGGUCAGAGCCUAUUCCAACCUUCCGAGACCCUGCGCAUGACACACUUUUAGAAGGGUCUCUGAAAAUUAAAGCUUUACUCUAGCAGACAUUGCAGCGGACUGAAUUCUGAUAGUUUUAACACUGCAUCCUAUCUGCAGCAGGUGGGCGAAUUACUGCAGGUCCUGCUCAGAGGAUGGGGGCAGGUUCCUCUGAAUGGCCGAGGACUACCAGCUAAAUUUUAAGAAAUCAGUCCAGGCCUUCUCAUAAGACCUGAAAGCGGAUGGGGAAACGUAAGCUACUAUUCCUCAUAAUUAUUAAUUGUCGCCAAGUGCCACAGGAGCUCCAGAAAAAUAGCUGGGUGUCCAGAGCCCAGGAUCUGAAGCUCUCCAACUGAAAAAACGGGAUAGAGCCACAGCAAAAACAUUAGAUGAUCCCGAAAUAAAGUGAGCAGAAACGCAAUAUUAAACCUUAAGCAGUGCGAAGACUCUGCCAGAGCAUGAAGACCGUUUUGCCAGGACUCUCACACUGCCUGGUUAUCAGACCAAGACAGACCUGACGGUCCCUAAACUCCUCAGUCCAGAUGUGCGCUGACACUACAAUGAGGAAAACUCAAGAAAGUUAGGUUACAUGUGAUUGCCUUGCCCUGCCAGGCUCAAGGCCACUGUACAUGAUGAUGAAGGGACACCGGGCCAUGAGACCACCUGGCCAAGCAGGAAUGGAAGGGGCAGCCUGGAGCAACCACCCUGCAUGCAAAAUUUAACUGACCUAGGAAUGAUAGGAUCUGACAAAGCAACACUUGCUUCAGAGGAAGUAUUACAAGAAUAACAUCCUUCAAGGCAAACAGCUUUUCCACAGGCAAGCAGAUGUUUGAGCAACGGUAUCCAGCUAGCCCCCAAAUACAUUAAAAGGGGCAGUAGGAGCCACUGUCCUCCACUGCCAACAGAACACCCAGCUCCUCAGGGAAUAAAGGGGCAUCUAGUAAGCUAAGCAGAGGCUGGUGUCACAUGAACCAGCCAGUAAAAUAAUCCACAUAACGAUACCCCCAGUUAAACGAGUCUUGACUCGCAAUGUUCAAUCCAGAAAGGCGCUAAAGGACUCAAGUGCUGCACAGCCUAUUGAGCAACCAACUGGCAUCGCCUUAUCCAUAUAAGGACCAUCCAAUUAAAGCCUAACUACUUAAAAUCUUGAGGGUGAACCGGCAGCAGCCUAACAGCCGAUUCAAUAUCGCAUAAUGCCAACAAGGCACCUCCUCCAAUUUGUUGGUAAGCUCAACUGCCUGAUCCAAAGAUGCAUAUUUCACGGAACAAUUCCGGAGGGAUAGCAUCAUUCACUGAGGUGCCUUUGGGGUGCGAUAAAUAUGGAUCAGAUGGAAUUAUAUGGGGCUUUCUUAGGGACGAUCCCCAAUGGGGAUAAAUGAAAAUCGGGACUAGAAGGAGAAUCAAGGGGAUCCCACCAUACGUCCCAAUGCAAGCUGCUUCCUAACCUUCUUUCUGGCUACCACAGACUUUCUGGCUACCACAGACUCUAACUGACUUUUGAGUUGCUGUAUUCUGAGCCACUGGCUGAAAAGCCAGAGGAAUCCCGAAACCUUGGAGAAAAACCCUUCCCACAAGCACAAAGCUACUGACGCAUCUAGAUAACCUUUUAGCCAGGCUUUAAAGGGAGAUAUUUUUAUGGAAAUAUGGGCGAGAGGUAUUGAGUUAUUGCUUGCCAGCCCCCGCUUGGGCAAGAAGCCCUGCCUUGUGUUGCCACCAUGAUGUGUAAAUUUACAGGGCCAACACUGGCCAGAGACCCUAAAGAAGUCCCAACAAAGCUGCCACCGGGCCAGCUUCCUGCAUACCAGCUUCAGGUUCUAUUGCUCAGGGAAUUUCCAUUUGAAAUGUGGAGCUGCGCAAGUGGUCCACAUGUCCCCGUCCCUGCGAUCCUAGCGAGCUAAGGGGAUGAUGGCAGCCCUGCGUCUAACAUUCCCAUCAUAGUGAAUUACCACUUAUAGAAUAGUGGGGUUGGAAGGGACUCCUAGGAUCAUCUAGUCCACUCUCCCACAAUAUCAUCAUCAUCAUCAUCAUCAUCAUCAUCAUCAUCAUCAUCUAUUUGUACCCCGCCCAUCUGGCUGGGCUUCCCCAGCCACUCUGGGCAGCUUCCAACAAAAUAUUAAAAUACAGUAAUGCAUCAAACAUUAAAAGCUUCCCUAAACAGGGCUGCCUUAGAUGUCUUCUAAAAGUCUGGUAGUAGACAUCUGGUGGGAGGGUGUACCACAGGGCAGGUGCCACUUCCGAGAAAGCCCUCCACCUGGUUCCCUGUAACUUGGCUUCUCACAGUGAGGGAACCACCAGAAAGGCCCUCGGCACUGGACCUCAGUGUCCGGGUAAAGUGAUGAGGGAGCAUGCAGCUGUCCCAUACAGGGACCAAUCCUGCAACCUAGGCAUUACCGGCACCAUACGCUGACCAGCUGAGCUAUCCAGGAUGCUCCCUAAAGACCUGGAACAGCCUCACCCUGACCCCUGGAGAGGUCCAAGGUGAUGUCUGAAUCAUCAUCAGAGCCCAGUGAUGAUUUACCUGCAAGGAGGUGUAAGCAUCAUCCCUGCUAUGCUUUUUCCUGCCUCUGAAGACGCCUCCUUCCUGAAGAAGGCACCUGGGGCAUCAACAAGUCAUCCUCUGCAGGAGAGGCAAGCUCUGGAGGCAUCUGCAAAGGCCCUGUCAUAGUCUGCGAAAAGAAAAAACCUAAACAAUGUGAGGAACAGGUGAAACCAAUGCUUUGUGCACCACAUGGGGACGCUAUUCAGGCCAGAAACGCUGCCAGAGGCCAUCAAAUUCUAGGGCCAAGCGGGCCAAGCCCUAGGAUCACCUGCUAGGCCAGACAUAAAUGUUUCCAAUGAGAUAACAAACUCGAGGCAGCCCACCGCAUGUCCAGGUACCCCUGCUUGCCCUUUAGAGGGAAGCACCUCCUCAAGAAACCCAAAGUUCUUUUUGGGAGCAAUAUCACAAAUGGGCCAAACUACCCAGCAACAAAAUAGUCCAAAAGGAGCAGCUUGUUUUGCCUUGUUAUAACAAUGGCUAAGUGAGGGAUAUGAACCCUGUCUCCCAGGUCCUAGUCCUGUACUCUAGCCACUAAGCCACAAUGGCUUGUCUCUAAAAUGGCAGUCGCCACUAUCAGGGAAAAACAAACUUGAAGAAAAUAAACUUGUUCAGAAACAGCAUAGUUAAAGAGCAUACAAAGAGUGCUCAUUGGAGGCACAGAGAGCCUCUGGCUCCACUCUGUCUGCCUAAGCUAUACAUUAGCAACAAGUGAGCCUGCAAACAACAGAUACAUUCUUAUAGAGAGAAUGAGUCACAUGUUACAGAAACUUAACAAUUCACUGUACUGCUAACUGUAGCAGGCUUAGGCUUGAAUGAUAUGUGCAGGCCGUGCAGGCCGUGAUGGCCUCCCUGCUUCAGCUCUCUGCUUUUUUGUCUCAUUGCAAUAUUAAAGGAACUCAAAAUAGUGCUCCCGCCCAAGGCUAAAUUAAAACUCGGCCAACAGCACUGCAAUCACCCAAAAUAAAGCCAACCUAUGAGGAUACUAUAAACGAAAGUGAUUCCAGGUAAGCUGGGAAUUCACUGUACUGCUAACUGUAGCAGGCUUAGGCUUGAAUGAUAUGUGCAGGCCGUGCAGGCCGUGAUGGCCUCCCUGCUUCUGCUCUCUGCCUUUUUUGUCUCAUUGCAAUAUUAAAGGAACUCAAAACAGUGCUCCCGCCCAAGGCUAGAUUAAAACUCAGCCAACAGCACUGCAUGCACCCAAAAUAAAGCCAACCUAUGGGGAUACUAUAAAUGAAAGUGAUUCCAGGUAAGCUGGGAGCAGCCCUGGCUAGCCCGACAAUUAAACAGGCGAAAAUGGGGAAAAGUUUUUGCAAAAGAAAGCCCCUAAUGGGGGCUCUCUCCCUAUUGGGAAAGGCAAGCCCAGGAGGAUUAUGCACAGGCAGCGCUCACAGGUACAGGGAGAAUCUUCCCAAAGGGCAGGGUAAGGGGUGGGGUGGGAAAUCAAACAGAAAAAAAAAAAGGGGGAAUUAAAUUAAUUAAGGGACUAGAGAAGAUUAAAAAGAAGGGGAAAAUAAAGAAAUGUAACCAGACAAUGAGAAGAUCGCUCCACUGUCCUCCAGACGGUCCAAGUGCUCCAGGUGAUCCGUUGCACGCAGCAAAGAGAAAGCUCCAGGCUGCG